ACCCAGGGCUCACGGCGGACAUUUUGAUUCACUUAGCUCCGGAGACCCUCUCCUCUCUGAGUAAUGGAGAAGAUUAGACUAGUGAUAUUACUAAUACAAUGGAUGGAGAGGGAGCAAGAGGGAGGGAGGGAUGGAGGGAGGGAGGGCCAGGUAGGAAGGAGGGAAGGAGGGAGGGAAGCCUUGGGGCUGUGACGUUGCUAACACAAUGGAGAGGGGGAAAGAGGGGAGGAAGGUGAAGGGGAGAGGGAGAGCGUAGCCUAGAUCUUGAGACGUUUACAGUACAAUGGAGAGAUUGAAGAAAGGGAGGCCGGGAUGGAGGGAUGGCUGGAGAGAGAGAGGGAAGGGAGAGUUAAGCCUUGGACUUGUGACGUUUAUAGUACAAUGGAGAGAUUGAAGAAGGGAUAGAAAGGAAGAGAGGAAAGGUUGGGUAAAGGGAAAGAGAGCUAGAGAAGAAGAGAGGAGAGUGAAGGGAUAGAAAGGAAGAGAGGAAAGGUUGGGUAAAGGGAAAGAGAGCUAGAGAAGAAGAGAGGAGAGUGAAGGGAUAGAAAGGAAGAGAGGAAAGGGAGGGAGGGAGAAGCUGAGCCUGGAGGACAUUUAAAGAGAGGGAUGAUGAAGGGAGAGAGAGGGGAAAUAGAGAAAGACAGAUGUGAGGGAAAUACAGAAAGACAGGUAGGAAGAUAUAUAGAGUGCAUUCAGAAAGUUUUCCCACAUUUCACAGCCUUAUUCUAAAAUGGAUUAAAUACUUUUUUUUCUCAUCAAUCUACACACCACACCACCGUUUUUUUUUUAAAUGUUUGCAAAUGUAUGAAAAAUAUCAAACUGAGAUAUCACAUUUACAUACGUUUUCAGACCCUUUACUCAGUGCUUUGUUGAAGCACCUUUGGCAGCGAUUAAAACCGUGCGUCUUCUUGGGUAUGACUUUCCAAGCUUGGCACACCAGUAUUUGUGGAGUUUCUCCUGUUCUUCUCUUCAGAUCCUCUCAAGCUCUGUCAGGCUGGAUGGGGAGCGUUGCUGCACAGCUAUUUUCAGGUCUUUCCAGAGAUGUUCCAUCGGGUUCAAAUCCAGGCUCUGGCUGGGCCACUCAAAGGCAUUCAGAGACUUGUCCAAAAGCCACUCCUGCGUUGUCUUGGCUGUGUGCUUAGGGUCGUUAUCCUGUUGGAAGGUGAACCUCCACCCCAGUCUGAGGUCCUGAGCCCCCUGGAGCAGGUUUUCAUCAAGGAUCUCUCUGUACUUUGCUCAGUUCAUCUUUCUCUCGAUCCUGCCUAGUCUCCCAGUCCCUGCUGCUGAAAAACAUCCCCACAGCAUAAUGCUGCCACCAACAUGCUUCACAGUAGGGAUGGGGCAAGGUUUCCUCCAGGCGUGAUGCUUGGCAUUCAAGCCAAAGAGUUCAAUCUUGGUUUCAUCAGACCAGAGAAUCAUGUUUCUGAUGGUCUGAGUGUCCUUUAGGUGCCUUUUGGCAAACUCCAAGUGGGCUGUCAUGUGCCUUUUACUGAGGAGUGGCUUCCAUAAAGGCCUGAUUGGUGGAGUGCUGUAGAAAUAUCUCAGCUGAGCUCCAUUUCGAGUCUCAUAGCAAAAGCUCUGAACACUUAUGUAAAUAAGGUAAUUCUGUUUUUUAUUUGUAAUAAAUUUACACAUUCUAAAAACCUGUUUUCACUUUGUCAUUAUGAGGUAUUGUGUGUAGAUUGAUGAAGAAAAAUAAUUAUUUAAUACUUUUUAGAAUAAGACUAACGUAAAAAAAAGUCAAGGGUUUUGAAUACUUUCCGAAUGCACGAGAGAGAGAGAGAUUCGGAACAGCUUGCAGCUCACCAAAAGCAUAGGAGAUGAUUACCAUGUUAUGAAAUAUCUUUAUGAAGAAAGCAGAAAGGGUUUUCUAGGACUCAGAGGCAUAAUGUUAUACUUAUUAAGACAUACAAAGUGAAAAUGUUUCAUGGUGAGGGAGAGACGGAGAGAGAAUUAGGAAGGGAGUGGAGAGGUGUUUAGAAACAGAAGGAAUGUGAUCUGCCUCAAGCCUCUCUCUCUCUCUUUUGGUGAGCUGUCUCUCUCUCUCUGUCUUUUUCUCUCUCUCUUUCUUCUUUUUCUCUCUCCCUUUCUGUCUUUCACUCUCUCUCCCUUUCUCUCUCCCUCUCUUUCAUGCUGUAUUUUCUCUCCCUUUCUCUCUUUCUCUUUUUCUCUCUCUUUCUCACUUUCUCUUUCUCUUUCUCUCUCUCCCUUUCUCCCUUUCUCUCUCCCUCUUUCUCACUUUCUCUGUUUCUUUCUCUCCCUUUCUCUCUCUCUCCCUUUCUCUCUUUCUCUCUCCUUCUUUCUCUCUCUCUCGCGCUCUCUCUCUCUGGCUGUGACUGAUGAAAUGGCAAUCACAGAGGGAGACCGUGUGUGUUUUCAUUUGGGAGAAGUGUAUAUGCACAAGGGCAUCAACCUUGCUUUGAAGUGUGUUCUGCAGAGACUCCUUUCUCUCUAUUCCUUGUGCUUAUUUGCCUGUGUGUUUGGUGUGUGUGCUGUGUGUGGGUGUGUGUGUUCAACUCAACUGAUCAAUGAUCCCUCCCGUCUGCCCUGAGAUGAUUUCGAAAGCCACUUAGCCAGAUUGACCUAAAUGAACGUAACACACACGCACACACACAGAAUGCUGCCACAAAGGAAAGGAAACAGCACAGGUUGAGUAUUGUUGACUAAUGUUCAACAACAACCCACACAAUACAGCCAUUAUACAAAUAAAGAAACGCAUUGACAACAAACUAUUAACAAAUGCAUAUCGAGGCUAUCCGAUUGAUGGAAAUGCUGUUCUGAAGACCAGACCCAUAUCGCUAAAUACCUGUCUAUGGCUCUGCUAAAGACCAGACCCAUAUCUCUAAAU
rnacentral:lncRNA from 1 species